GCAGAGUAGAACUUUGUGCGUUAAGUGUCCGACGGACGGGGAGUUGCCUUCGGAACGAAAAGAACCGUUUCUUGCGGUACAAAGUUCGCAUCCCGCUGC
rnacentral:ncRNA from 1 species